rnacentral:rRNA from 1 species
AGAGUUUGAUCCUGGCUCAGAUUGAACGCUGGCGGCAGGCCUAACACAUGCAAGUCGAGCGGAUGAUGGGAGCUUGCUCCCGGAUUCAGCGGCGGACGGGUGAGUAAUGCCUAGGAAUCUGCCUGGUAGUGGGGGACAACGUUUCGAAAGGAACGCUAAUACCGCAUACGUCCUACGGGAGAAAGCAGGGGACCUUCGGGCCUUGCGCUAUCAGAUGAGCCUAGGUCGGAUUAGCUAGUUGGUGGGGUAAAGGCCUACCAAGGCGACGAUCCGUAACUGGUCUGAGAGGAUGAUCAGUCACACUGGAACUGAGACACGGUCCAGACUCCUACGGGAGGCAGCAGUGGGGAAUAUUGGACAAUGGGCGAAAGCCUGAUCCAGCCAUGCCGCGUGUGUGAAGAAGGUCUUCGGAUUGUAAAGCACUUUAAGUUGGGAGGAAGGGCAGUAAGUUAAUACCUUGCUGUUUUGACGUUACCAACAGAAUAAGCACCGGCUAACUUCGUGCCAGCAGCCGCGGUAAUACGAAGGGUGCAAGCGUUAAUCGGAAUUACUGGGCGUAAAGCGCGCGUAGGUGGUUUGGUAAGAUGGAUGUGAAAUCCCCGGGGCUCACC